CAGCCGCCGCGGGAAUACAGAGGGUGCAAGCGUUAAUCGGAAUUACUGGGCGUAAAGCGCGCGUAGGUGGCUCGCCAAGUUGGAUGUGAAAUCCCCGGGCUCAACCUGGGAACUGCAUCCAAAACUGGCGAGCUAGAGUAUGGUAGAGGGUGGUGGAAUUUCCUGUGUAGCGGUGAAAUGCGUAGAUAUAGGAAGGAACAUCAGUGGCGAAGGCGACCACCUGGACUGAUACUGACACUGAGGUGCGAAAGCGUGGGGAGCAAACAGGAUUAGAUACCCCCGUAGUCCCUGUCUCUUAUAC
rnacentral:rRNA from 1 species